rnacentral:rRNA from 1 species
AGUUGUAUCCUGGCUCAGGAUGAACGCUAGCGGUAUGCCUAACACAUGCAAGUCGUACGAGGGUUUCAUACCCAAGUGGCGGACGGGUGAGUAACACGUGAGAAUUUGCCCUAAGGAGGGGGAUAACAACUGGAAACGGUUGCUAAAACCCCAUAUGCUUCCGAGUGAAAUAGAUUUAUCUGCCUUAGGAGAAGCUCGCGGCUGAUUAGCUAGUUGGUAAGGUAAUGGCUUACCAAGGCGACGAUCAGUAUCUGGUUUGAGAGGACGAUCAGACACACUGGAACUGAGACACGGUCCAGACUCCUACGGGAGGCAGCAGUGGGGAAUUUUCCGCAAUGGGCGAAAGCCUGACGGAGCAAUACCGCGUGAAGGAAGACGGCCUAUGGGUUGUAAACUUCUUUUUUCAGGGAGGAACUCAAUGACGUGUACCUGAAGAAUAAGCAUCGGCUAACUCCGUGCCAGCAGCCGCGGUAAGACGGAGGAUGCAAGUGUUAUCCGGAAUCACUGGGCGUAAAGCGUCUGUAGGUGGUUUAAUAAGUCGACUGUUAAAUCUUGAGGCUUAACCUCAAAAUCGCAUUCGAAACUAUUAGACUUGAGUAUAGUAGAGGUAAAGGGAAUUUCCAGUGGAGCGGUGAAAUGCGUAGAUAUUGGAAAGAACACCGAUGGCGAAGGCACUUUACUGGGCUAUUACUGACACUCANAGACGAAAGCUAGGGUAGCAAAUGGGAUUAGAUACCCCAGUAGUCCUAGCCGUAAACAAUGGGAUACUAGAUGUUGGACAGAUCGACCCUGUGCAGUAUCAAA